ensembl:lncRNA
GAUCAGACAUGAUACAUGGGGACAGAAACAACACAAGACAACAGUGCUGAAUGUGACAGACAUAUAUAUACACACACCAGUGCUAAUUAGCUAAACGUGAAAGAGGUGAAUGAGACGUGACAUGGUGCAGUGGCUGAUGGGAAACGUAGUUUCUAGUCCUUUUACAAUAUUAGGUGACAGAACCCCCUCCUUAACAUGUGGCUUUCAAAUCACGUAAUCAGUUCUGAGAGGGUCCUGGAUCCCCAGACCAGAUGACCUUAAGCAUUUCAGAUUUUCACUCUGUGUCCUCCCUCACAGGGCUGGAUAGAGGACGCUUGAUGUGUUCACUGAGGUUUAGAGCCUCACAUGAUUUUAUGGAGAUGUGAGUGAUCCUGAUCCUUUCUGAUCUCCGUACCUGCCUGAUCCACCCUGAUGCCCUACUUCUGGAUGGAGCUCUCAUCAACUGGAGGCUACAGUCUGAGGAUUGGUGAGGAUGGUAUUGCUCGGAGUACUAUGGAAAUGGUUUUGGACCUCAAUUUCACAUGGACGUUCUCGCUGUGGUUGCUGGGAAUACGGUUGCUGCAAUGGCCUUGGGACUGCAAUUACCACACGCAGUUUUGCACUCUGGUCUCCUUUAGUGAACAGUGGACUAGUUCAACAAAAAGACUUCACGUAAAAACCAUAAUGAACUUUCUUUUACUUUCACUGUUCACUAAAGGGUUCCAGAGUGAAACACAUUCGUUCAAGUGUUUUCUGGUUCCAAGCAAAUGGUGCACUGGAACGAUGGAAUCGUGUUUUGAAGAACUGUAUCCAAAUAGCUGAAACACAACAAACAUAACAAUGAGAGUGUCACCAUUUGAGCUUUUGAAAGGGAGGAAAAUACAUACAAAAUUGAACACCACACCUGUCACACCUAUGUCUAGGGAGAAUGUGAAAAAGAGCAUACAUGACCAUGUACACAGGAUUCAAGAGAAAAUGAAACAGUACACUGUUAAUAAACGUGGAGCUAAAACACCAUUAUUGAAAUGUGGAGACCGUGUACGUGUAAGAAAACCAAUGCAUAUAUCUAAAGCUGGAAUGAAAUUCACUGCUCCCUUGUCAGUAUAUAAGAAACUUGGACCAAGCACUUAUGUGUUGAGCGAUUGUAAGAAGUGCAAUGCAGCG